ensembl:rRNA 5S_rRNA 5S ribosomal RNA
AGCCACAGCCAUAUCACCAUGUAGCCCAAAACCGGUUACUCACUAAAGCUAAGCAGAGCUGAGUCUGGUUAGUACCUGGAUGGGAGUCCACAUGGGAAAACUAGGCUGUUGUUGUGA